rnacentral:lncRNA from 1 species
UCGGCAUCCGUAUAUCGAAAUCUUGUCCCGAAAGCUGCAACGCUUGCCUAAUGCCUAUGCAGUGCUAUUUGUGUGUUUGCGUGUUGUUCUGAUGACCGAGAUGGGUUUUGGUCUCUUUUUUGACUUUUUCCCUAACUGUCGGUUCAUCGGGCAAACGGGCUGAUAACUCGGCAUCCGUAUAUCGGAAUCGAGUCCCAUAAGUUGCAACGCGUGCCUAAUGUCUAUGCGGUGUUAUGUGUAUGUUUGCAUUUAGUUCGGACGACCGAGGCGGGUUUUGGUCUCUUUUUUGCCUUUUUGCCUAACUGUUG